rnacentral:rRNA from 1 species
UACGUAGGGUGCGAGCGUUGUCCGGAAUUACUGGGUGUAAAGAGCUCGUAGGUGGUUUGUCGCGUUGUUCGUGAAAUCUCACGGCUUAACUGUGAGCGUGCGGGCGAUACGGGCAGACUAGAGUACUGCAGGGGAGACUGGAAUUCCUGGUGUAGCGGUGGAAUGCGCAGAUAUCAGGAGGAACACCGGUGGCGAAGGCGGGUCUCUGGGCAGUAACUGACGCUGAGGAGCGAAAGCGUGGGGAGCGAACAGG